AUUGAACGCUGGCGGCAUGCUUUACACAUGCAAGUCGAACGGUAACAGGGUGCUUGCACCGCUGACGAGUGGCGAACGGGUGAGUAAUGCGUCGGAACGUGCCGAGUAGUGGGGGAUAACGCAGCGAAAGUUGUGCUAAUACCGCAUACGUACUGAGGUAGAAAGUGGGGGACCUUCGGGCCUCACGCUAUUCGAGCGGCCGACGUCUGAUUAGCUAGUAGGUGAGGUAAAGGCUCACCUAGGCGACGAUCAGUAGCGGGUCUGAGAGGAUGAUCCGCUACACUGGGACUGCGACACGGCCCAGACUCCUACGGGAGGCAGCAGUGGGGAAUUUUGGACAAUGGGCGAAAGCCUGAUCCAGCCAUGCCGCGUGUCUGAAGAAGGCCUUCGGGUUGUAAAGGACUUUUGUCGGGGAGGAAAUCCCCAGCGUUAAUACCGCUGGGGGAUGACAGUACCUGAAGAAUAAGCACCGGCUAACUACGUGCCAGCAGCCGCAGUAACAC
rnacentral:rRNA from 1 species